rnacentral:misc_RNA from 1 species
UCGCCAUUAACAUCACCAAUCUAUUAUCUUCGUACCCUGAAAUCUCUGACUUUGCUAAUCUCUUCGCCACCACUUCUGUCGCCGCCGAUCUAACCCAGCGUUCUUCUCUUACUCUCCUUGUCGUCCCCAACACCUUCCUCCGAUCAUCCGAUCUCUUGAACAACCGCUCUCCGCCAUCCUCUUCCUCUUCGAAUCUCGGCG